CCUACGGGUGGCUGCAGUGGGGAAUAUUGGACAAUGGGCGAAAGCCUGAUCCAGCCAUGCCGCGUGUGUGAAGAAGGCCUUCGGGUUGUAAAGCACUUUCAGUGGGGAAGAAAGCCUUGGGGCUAAUACCCUCGAGGAAGGACAUCACCCACAGAAGAAGCACCGGCUAACUCCGUGCCAGCAGCCGCGGUAAUACGGAGGGUGCGAGCGUUAAUCGGAAUUACUGGGCGUAAAGCGCGCGUAGGCGGUCUGAUAAGCCGGUUGUGAAAGCCCCGGGCUCAACCUGGGAACGGCAUCCGGAACUGUCAGGCUAGAGUGCAGGAGAGGAAGGUUGAAUUCCCGGUGUAGCGGUGAAAUGCGUAGAGAUCGGGAGGAAUACCAGUGGCGAAGGCGGCCUUCUGGACUGACACUGACGCUGAGGUGCGAAAGCGUGGGUAGCAAACAGGAUUAGAUACCCCAGUAGUC
rnacentral:rRNA from 1 species